rnacentral:lncRNA from 1 species
GCUCAGGGGAUGACUUCUCAGGUUGUUUCAGAUCAGACCAUGAUCCCUCAUAUCUCUACUAUUUUUAAGAUGCUCACAGCUCAGUCCGUACGACUUGAGGAGCUUGAGGGAUGUGUUUUGAGACUGACGAGCAGAGUUCUAGAUUUGCAGAGGUAGGUAUUAGCCUUAGCCCAUCCUCAGCCGCAUGAGGAUAUCACGGAGGUCUCAGACCUAUCUGC